rnacentral:rRNA from 13 species
UUAUACGGCGAAACUGCGAAUGGCUCAUUAAAUCAGUUAUCGUUUAUUUGAUAGCCCCUUACUACUUGGAUAACCGUGGUAAUUCUAGAGCUAAUACAUGCUGAAAACCCCGACUUCGGAAGGGAUGUAUUUAUUAGAUUAAAAACCAAUGCCCCUCGGGGCUCACUGGUGAUUCAUGAUAACUUCUCGAAUCGCACGGCCUUGCGCCGGCGAUGGCUCAUUCAAAUUUCUGCCCUAUCAACUUUCGACGGCUGGAUCUGGGCCCGCCAUGGUGACAACGGGUAACGGAGGGUUAGGGCUCGGCCCCGGAGAAGGAGCCUGAGAAACGGCUACUACAUCCAAGGAAGGCAGCAGGCGCGCAAAUUACCCAAUCCCGACUCGGGGAGGUAGUGACAAUAAAUACUGAUACAGGGCUCUUUUGGGUCUUGUAAUUGGAAUGAGUACAAUUUAAUUCCCUUAACGAGGAACAAUUGGAGGGCAAGUCUGGUGCCAGCAGCCGCGGUAAUUCCAGCUCCAAUAGCGUAUAUUAAAGUUGUUGCAGUUAAAAAGCUCGUAGUUGAACCUUGGGCCUGGCUGGCCGGUCCGCCUCACCGCGUGCACUGGUCCGGCCGGGUCUUUCCCUCUGGGGAGCCGCAUGCCCUUCACUGGGCGUGUCGGGGAACCAGGACAUUUACUUUGAAAAAAUUAGAGUGUUCAAAGCAGGCUUAUGCUCGAAUACAUUAGCAUGGAAUAAUAGAAUAGGACGCGCGGUUCUAUUUUGUUGGUUUCUAGGACCGCCGUAAUGAUUAAUAGGGACAGUCGGGGGCAUCAGUAUUCAAUAGUCAGAGGUGAAA